rnacentral:rRNA from 1 species
GACGAACGCUGGCGGCGUGCCUAACACAUGCAAGUCGAGCGGGGUUGAAGCGAGGGGUAACUCGAGUUUCUACCUAGCGGCGGACGGGUGAGUAACGCGUGGGCAACCUGCCUCAAGGACUGGGAUAACAGCUCGAAAGGGCUGCUAAUACCGGAUAAGCCUAUGGCCUCGCAUGGGGCCAUGAGCAAAGGGGAAACCCGCCUUGAGAUGGGCCCGCGUCCCAUCAGCUAGUUGGUGAGGUGAAGGCUCACCAAGGCGACGACGGGUAGCCGGCCUGAGAGGGUGACCGGCCACACUGGGACUGAGACACGGCCCAGACUCCUACGGGGGGCAGCAGUGGGGAAUCUUGCACAAUGGGCGAAAGCCUGAUGCAGCGACGCCGCGUGAGCGAAGAAGGCCUUCGGUUGUAAGCUCUGUCUGGAGGGACGGAAGGAAGGUAGGACGGGUACCGUCCGGACGGAAGGCCGACGGCUAACUACCGUGCCACGCAGCCGCGGUAAGUAUCACGUGUAC